CAGCCGCCACGGUAAUACGAAGGGUGCAAGCGUUAAUCGGAAUUACUGGGCGUAAAGCGUGCGUAGGCGGUUUGUUAAGUCUGCUGUGAAAUCCCCGGGCUCAACCUGGGAAUGGCAGUGGAUACUGGCAAGCUAGAGUGUGUCAGAGGAUGGCGGAAUUCCCGGUGUAGCGGUGAAAUGCGUAGAGAUCGGGAGGAACAUCAGUGGCGAAGGCGGCCAUCUGGGACAACACUGACGCUGAGGCACGAAAGCGUGGGGAGCAAACAGGAUUAGAUACCCCAGUAGUCCCUGUCUCUUAUAA
rnacentral:rRNA from 1 species